GACGAACGCUGGCGGCGUGCUUAACACAUGCAAGUCGAACGGAAAGGCCCUGCUUUUGUGGGGUGCUCGAGUGGCGAACGGGUGAGUAACACGUGAGUAACCUGCCCUUGACUUUGGUAUAACUUCAGGAAACUGGGGCUAAUACCGGAUAGGAGCUCCUGCUGCAUGGUGGGGGUUGGAAAUUUUCGGCGGUUGGGGAUGGACUCGCGGCUUAUCAGCUUGUUGGUGGGGUAGUGGCUUACCAAGGCUUUGACGGGUAGCCGGCCUGAGAGGGUGACCGGCCACAUUGGGACUGAGAUACGGCCCAGACUCCUACGGGAGGCAGCAGUGGGGAAUAUUGCACAAUGGGCGGAAGCCUGAUGCAGCAACGCCGCGUGCGGGAUGACGGCCUUCGGGUUGUAAACCGCUUUCGCCUGUGACGAAGCGUGAGUGACGGUAAUGGGUAAAGAAGCACCGGCUAACUACGUG
rnacentral:rRNA from 1 species